CCUACGGGAGGCAGCAGUGGGGAAUUUUGGACAAUGGGGGAAACCCUGAUCCAGCAAUGCCGCGUGCAGGAUGAAGGCCUUCGGGUUGUAAACUGCUUUUGUACGGAACGAAAAGCUCUGGGUUAAUACCCUGGAGUCAUGACGGUACCGUAAGAAUAAGCACCGGCUAACUACGUGCCAGCAGCCGCGGUAAUACGUAGGGUGCGAGCGUUAAUCGGAAUUACUGGGCGUAAAGCGUGCGCAGGCGGUUUUGUAAGACAGUGGUGAAAUCCCCGGGCUCAACCUGGGAACUGCCAUUGUGACUGCAAGGCUGGAGUGCGGCAGAGGGGGAUGGAAUUCCGCGUGUAGCAGUGAAAUGCGUAGAUAUGCGGAGGAACACCGAUGGCGAAGGCAAUCCCCUGGGCCUGCACUGACGCUCAUGCACGAAAGCGUGGGGAGCAAACAGGAUUAGAUACCCCAGUAGUC
rnacentral:rRNA from 1 species